rnacentral:rRNA from 1 species
AGUGAACGCUGGCGGUAGGCCUAACACAUGCAAGUCGAACGGCAGCACAGUAAGAGCUUGCUCUUACGGGUGGCGAGUGGCGGACGGGUGAGGAAUACAUCGGAAUCUACUUUUUCGUGGGGGAUAACGUAGGGAAACUUACGCUAAUACCGCAUACGACCUACGGGUGAAAGCAGGGGAUCUUCGGACCUUGCACGAUUGUAUGAGCCGAUGUCGGAUUAGCUAGUGGGCGAGGUAAAGGCCGACCAAGGCGACGCUCCGUAGCUGACCUGAGAGGAUGAGCGGCCACACGGGAACUGAGACACGGUCCAGACUCCUACGGGAGGCAGCAGUAGGGAAGCUUGCGCAAUGGGGGAAAGCCUGACGGAGCAAUGCCGCGUGAGUGAUGAAGGUCUUCGGAUCGUAAAACUCUGUUAUUAGGGAAGAACAAAUGUGGAAGUAACUAUGCACGUCUGGACGGUACCUAAUCAGAAAGCCACGGCUAACUACGUG